rnacentral:lncRNA from 1 species
UCAUAAUAUAUCUUAAGAGCAUCGCUCAUUAAUCAGAUAAGGUGGGGAUUUGAUCACCCUUCCUUAGCCCGCAAACCACAACCUUCAUUUGCAUUAAUCCAAGCCUUAGAAUAAAAUCCAUUAGACGUCAAUCCUAAGGACAUUCGAGCUCAUUAGGACAGAAAAAUCUAAGAGUUGGACUGGAUUCAAGUUGGUUAGCCUGUCGGUGUCUAAGAAAGUAGUUCAAGAAUUACGUUCCAAAGAAAGAUGGUUCUCU